GACGAACGCUGGCGGCGUGCCUAAUGCAUGCAAGUCGAGCGAGCUACAGUCUUCGGAUUGUAGCUUAGCGGCGAACGGGUGAGUAACACGUAGGUGAUCUACCCUUCAGAGGAGGACAACCUCAGGAAACUGAGGCUAAACCUUCAUACGUUCACUGGUAGGGAUACUGGUGAAGAAAGAGUUACCCAAAAGGUAAUUGCUGAAGGAUGAGCCUGCGGCCCAUCAGGUAGUUGGUGAGGUAACGGCUCACCAAGCCUAAGACGGGUAACCGGUCUGAGAGGAUGUCCGGUCACACUGGGACUGAGACACGGCCCAGACUCCUACGGGAGGCAGCAGCAGGGAAUCUUGGGCAAUGGGCGAAAGCCUGACCCAGCGACGCCGCGUGGAGGAAGAAGUCCUUCGGGCGGUAAACGUACCUCGGACUGGGGACGGAGGAAGGGACGGUACCCCGACGUAGAAAGGGACGGCGUAACUACGUAGCCAGCAGCCGCGGUAAACGUACGACGUCG
rnacentral:rRNA from 1 species